rnacentral:rRNA from 1 species
GACGAACGCUGGCGGCGUGCUUAACACAUGCAAGUCGAACGGAAAGGCCCUGCUUUUGUGGGGUGCUCGAGUGGCGAACGGGUGAGUAACACGUGAGUAACCUGCCCUUGACUUUGGGAUAACUUAAGGAAACUGGGGCUAAUACAGGAUAGGAGCUCCUGCUGCAUGGUGGGGGUUGGAAAGUUUCGGCGGUUGGGGAUGGACUCGCGGCUUAUCAGCUUGUUGGUGGGGUAGUGGCUGACCAAGGCUUUGACGGGUAGCCGGCCUGAGAGGGUGACCGGCCACAUUGGGACUGAGAUACGGCCCAGACUCCUACGGGAGGCAGCAGUGGGGAAUAUUGCACAAUGGGCGGAAGCCUGAUGCAGCAACGCCGCGUGCGGGAUGACGGCCUUCUGGUUGUAAACCGCUUUCGCCUGUGACGAAGCGUGAGUGACGGUAAUGGGUAAAGAAGCACCGGCUAACUACGUG